rnacentral:rRNA from 1 species
UACGUAGGGUGCGAGCGUUAAUCGGAAUUACUGGGCGUAAAGCGUGCGCAGGCGGUUUUGUAAGCCAGAUGUGAAAUCCCCGGGCUUAACCUGGGAAUGGCAUUUGGGACUGCAAGGCUUGAGUGCGGCAGAGGAGACUGGAAUUCCUGGUGUAGCAGUGAAAUGCGUAGAUAUCAGGAGGAACACCGAUGGCGAAGGCAGGUCUCUGGGCUGACACUGACGCUCAGGUGCGAAAGCCAGGGGAGCGAACGGG